AAAAGGAAAAACAAGGAAUACCCCAAUACGCAUCACAUCUCAUGUUGUUAAUAAAAAGCCAAAAAUAGGGAUGCCAGGUUUAAAGUUAGGAAUGUCCCGAUCCGAUAUUCGGAUCGGUAUCGGCCGCCGAUACUAGCAAAAAACGGGCAUCGGCAUCGGAUUGGACUGCAUGGAAAAAUGCCGAUCCAAGAACUCUGAUCCAGUUUUUUCCGCUCCAGGUUUUCCGGCCAGCCCAGCGCUCCACGAGUCAAGCAGUCCAUUCCAGUGAUCCGCUCCAGCUCUUACUAUCAAUCCACCAGGCCAGCAUGCAGAGGGCAGACACACACGGAGGAUAGGAAGAGUAGCGGUCAACUUAGUUAACUGACUAUUUGUUUUCUGCUCAGGUUUUUUGAGAGUGAUAUUUUUAUUUGGUUUACACGCUUACUGUUUAAGUAAAGAGCACUGAUGGCAUUGUUUUGGGCACAAUUAGUGAAAUUGGAGCCAUGGAUGGACUACAAAAACACUACUAAAAUAACUGAAAAGGAAAGGCUGCAUUGUUUGUUAAAUGCCAACAAUGUCUUAUGGUGUUAAUCUUUUUUUAUUUAUUAGGGGAGCAAAGCACAAGUGUGUGGAGUCUUGCUGCUAUUUUAAUUCCAUUGUUAGACAUUUUAAAGAUUUCUUGUGUUGAUCUAUUUUCUGGGCGGCACGGUGGUGUGGUGGUUAGCACUGUCGCCUCACAGCAAGAGGGUUGCCGGUUCGAUCCCGGGUGUGGGAGCCCUUCUGUGCGGAGUUUGCAUGUUCUCCCAGCGUGGGUUCUCUCCGGGCACUCCGGCUUCCUCCCACAAUCCAAAGACAUGCAGACUGGGGACUAGGUUAAUUGAUAACUGUAAAUUGUCCGUAGGUGUGAAUGUGAGUGUGAAUGGUUGUUUGUCUCUAUGUGUCAGCCCUGCGAUAGUCUGGCGACCUGUCCAGGGUGAACCCUGCCUCUCGCCCAAUGUCAGCUGGGACAGCCCCCCGCGACCCUCAAGAGGAUGAAGCGGUUAGAAGAUGAAGAUCUAUUUUCUAUUUAUUAAGGGGCCAAAGCAGCCAAAGCAAACCAGCUAUAUUUUUUAUUUAAUGUUAAUGUUCAAAUUUUAUUCAAGUUUAUUUAACCCUGUUAACAAUACCGAUAAAGUAGUUGUUCUUGUUGGAGUAAUAUUGCUUGAUCAAACCUUUUCUAACAUGACUCACAAUAAAAUAAGUGAAUAUGUAUAAUACGCGCUUGGAUCGGAUCGGUAUCGGCCAAAACUUAAGGCUGUAAUAUCGGUAUCGGUAUCGGAUCGGAAGUGAAAAAGCUGGAUCGGGACAUCCCUAUUUAAAGUGAUUAAUCAAUUGUUUGUUCUUACACAAUGACAAUAGAAUAAUUGCAAGUGAUUUUGGUCAUUGAUGAACAUCCCUUUUGAAGAUGAGAGUUGUCUGGUAGAAAAAUAGGGUAAACCAGUUCAUAAAGGGGGGUCGUGUGGCUAUGUAAUGGGGACAAAGAGAGAAUAUUUUAGCAUUCAUAUCUUAGUUAUUGACUUUAUAUGGAAUUUUCUUCUUGUGACUUUCAAUGUACUGUAUACUCUAAAGGUUGCCAUGGUUGCAGGCACACUGAGGGUACAUCUCUGGAAGAUGCCACCAGGAGGAUGAUGUCCUUCCUGAUGGUGCCAGAACUUCAACGCCAGUACAACGUCACGGGACAGAUGAACAAGCUCUCCUUCAAAGACAUGCGUCUUUUUGACGUAUUCUAUGGGGCACUACAGAAGAAUGCCACCACUCAAGGGGUCAACAAGAAGGAUACGGAAAUGGUUCACCGGGGCAUGGGACAGAGGAGGAGAAAGAGCUGCCAGAGCUCGAAGAGAGAUAGAAACAAGAGCGCGGCAAGAUGGAACACAGACACCAUAAACGAGUUCAAUCUACGAAUGGGUCGUCUUCUAGUUCUGCUCAAGCACCAGUAGCUUUCUCUGUGAUGUUGCUGGUUUCUGCUGUGGCUGUUCACGUAUUGUUAGUACGUGCCUGCAGAUAAUUGAAUUGUUAAUGUUACAUUAACAUUUGGUAACAUUACAUUACCUAUUAUUUAGAUUCAUAUAUAUUUAUUUGGAUUUAAAUAUUUUUAUUUUGAUAGUUUUAAUUUAUUUUGAUUUUCAGAUAUUUGAGGUUUGUAUUUUAUUUUGUUAUAUAUUUUAAUUUUGUAACAUUUUAAUUUAUUUUUACAAAGGAUAAUUCAUUUUUAUAAGAAAUACAGUUUCAUAAAGCAUCAAAAGUGUAUUGUCUUGUAUUUUCAUGCAAAACAUUACACACUUAUUUCAUUCUUAGUUUUUAGUGAUUAUGUUAACUUUAAGCCCAUUUGGGCAGGUGGGGCUUAGAUGGGUCUUGCAUGAAUUGCCCAGUUAAGACCCACAUAAGACCCUUUC